UACGAAGGGGGCUAGCGUUGCUCGGAAUCACUGGGCGUAAAGCGUGCGCAGGCGGUUCGUUAAGUCAGCUGUGAAAGCCCCGGGCUCAACCUGGGAAUUGCGGUUGAAACUGGCGAACUAGAAUCUGGCAGAGGGGGGUGGAAUUCCACGUGUAGCAGUGAAAUGCGUAGAUAUGUCACAGAACACCAAUUGCGAAGGCAGCUUACUAAGGUGCAAUUGACGCUGAGGCACGAAAGCGUGGGGAUCAAACAGG
rnacentral:rRNA from 1 species